rfam:Triticum aestivum genome assembly, contig: Triticum_aestivum_CS42_TGACv1_scaffold_096707_2AL
GCUCAGUUAGUAAAGCACAAGGCUCUUAACCUUGUGGACGUGGAUUCAAGCCCCAU